GAUCAACGCUGGCGGCGUGCCUAAUGCAUGCAAGUCGAGCGGGGUGUCCUUCGGGGCACUUACGCGGCGGACGGGUGCGUAACACGUGGGCAACCUGCCCCGAGGUGGGGGAUAGCCGUGGGAAACCGCGGGUAAUUCCGCAUGUGGUGCUGGAUCGGCAGGAUCUGGUACGAAAGGGUCUUUGGACUCGCCUUGGGAGGGGCCUGCGGCCGAUUAGCUAGUUGGUGGGGUCACGGCCUACCAAGGCAGCGAUCGGUAGCUGGUCUGAGAGGACGGCCAGCCACACGGGGACUGAGACACGGCCCCGACUCCUACGGGAGGCAGCAGCAAGGAAUCUUCCGCAAUGGGCGACAGCCUGACGGAGCAACGCCGCGUGCGGGAUGACGCCCUUCGGGGUGUAAACCGCUUUUCUUCAGGAAGAAUGUCCCUUCGGGGGCUUGACGGUACUGGAGGAAGAAGGACCGGCUAACUACGUGCCAGCCGCCGCAGUAAAAC
rnacentral:rRNA from 1 species